GUGCCUUUAGCUCAGCUGGAUAGAGCAACUGCCUUCUAAGCAGGAGGUCGGGGGUUCGAGUCCCUCAAGGCACUCCA
rnacentral:tRNA from 1 species